UAGAGCUCUAUGUAUCUACAUCCUCUUGGCUCUGUCUCUCUAGAAAGCCUUCACUAACACGGGGUUGGAAGCGUCUCGCUCAGCGGGAGGUGAGGGGAGAAGACCACACCCAGCACCCCCACCCUGCCCUCCAAGAGAACUCUUCCAUUGUCCUCUUUCCCAUCCCUUCUGGAGGAAAAAACAGUAUAUACAGUCAUGCAUCAAUUAACAACGCGGACAUCCUCUGAGCAAUGCAUCAUUAGGUGGUUUCCUUGUUGUGCAACCAUCAUAGAGCGCAGUCACGCAAACCUGGCUGGUACAGCCCACUGCACCGUGUGGCCGUGUGGGGCUAAUCUUAUGGGAGCACAGUCAUGUAUGAGGUAUGCUGUUGAAACACCAUCAUGUGGCACUUAACUGGCUAGAAUUCAGUACUGUCUGUGGCUUCAGGCAUCCUCUGGAGGUCUUGGAGUGAGUUUCCUGCGGGUAAGGGGGACUACUGUAUAAUGAGGAUGAUAAUGGUACCUCAGAUCAGAGGGCUGUGGGGACAAUAAAACAAGAUAAUGCACAGGGCCAAGCAGUGUCUGGCACACAUUCAAAAGUACUUUAAUGUUAGCAAAGUGGUGCCUCCAGCUGUGUGCCAGAGCCCUGUGCCACCAGAGGGUGGGGACAGGGAACACUGAGCAGGGCCAAGUCCUUUAAUGCCCCAUUUACACUUUCCACGAAAGAGAGGGGAAUGUUUUCCCAAGUGCUAACAGAUCAGGAAUUCACUCAACAACCACGCAUCCAAGCAAAUGGCUUUGGAUCCAGUAGAUGCUCCAUAAGCACAGAGCCCCUAAGUACAGCUGAUGAGAAAGAAUAGAGCUGGUCCAAGAGUGAGCCUGAUUGGAAAGGGGGUGAAGGAGGCCUUCCCAGAAGAGGUGCUGUUUGAGCCAGGGCUUGGAGAGUGAGGGGGGAGCUGCAGGAAGACAAGGCAAGAUGAAGAGGGAGCGGCGUCCCUAGGGUGGAGGCUCAGAAAGCCCCCAGGGAGCUCCAGGGAGCAGGGCAGCUAGAGGUUCUCCAGCCACAGGUGAGCACAGGGCUCUGCUCCCCUUCUCUGUCUGCCUCCUCCAUUGCACAGUGCACUCCCUGGGUGCAGGACCAGAUCUACCCUGGUGACCAGGGUGGCCCUGGCCUCCAGCCUACUGCUGCCUGCAGUAGGUGCCCAUGGAGUAUGUCUAACUGCUCGUGGGCCCCUGGACACAGAGCCUGCCAGUCCGUGUCCUGGCUCUCCCUGGGGCUCGAAACAAGUUCUUCAUUUGUUCAGCAGGAUUUGUGGAGCACCCACCAUGUGCUGGCACCACCACAGGUGCUGGGGUGCAGUAGUGGGCAGGGCACGAGGCUGAGUCUCCAGUGAGCGCGCUGUGAUGACCCUGGG
rnacentral:lncRNA from 1 species